rnacentral:misc_RNA from 1 species
AACGCACAUUGCGCCCCUUGGUAUUCCGAGGGGCAUGCCUGUUCGAGCGUCAUAUUGACCACUCCCGCGUGCGGGGUCUUGGGUCGCGCCUCUGGGCGGGCCUUAAAAUCAGUGGCGGUGCCGUCGGGCUCUACGCGUAGUAAUUCUUCUCGCGAUAGGGUCCCGGUGGAUGCUAGCCAACAACCCCCAAUUUUUUAAGGUUGACCUCGGAUCAGGUAGGGAUACCCGCUGAACUUAA